rnacentral:rRNA from 1 species
CAGUAGCCGCGGUAAUACGAAGGGUGCAAGCAUUAAUCGGAAUUACUGGGCGCAAAGCGUGCGUAGGCGGUUUGUUAAGUCUGCUGUGAAAUCCCCGGGCUCAACCUGGGAAUGGCAGUGGAUACUGGCAAGCUAGAGUGUGUCAGAGGAUGGUGGAAUUCCCGGUGUAGCGGUGAAAUGCGUAGAGAUCGGGAGGAACAUCAGUGGCGAAGGCGGCCAUCUGGGACAACACUGACGCUGAGGCACGAAAGCGUGGGGAGCAAACAGGAUUAGAUACCCGCGUAGUCCCUGUCUCUUAUAC